rnacentral:rRNA from 1 species
AACAAACGCUGGCGGCGUGUCUUAAGCAUGCAAGUUGAGCGGCAAGGAGGAGAGAUCCUCCCUAGAGCAGCGGACUGGUGAGUAACGCGUGGGUAAUCUAUCUUAGGCAUGGGGAUAGUCACUAGAAAUAGUGGGUAAUACCGAAUAAGUUCCAUAAGGGGAGGACUUAUGGAAGAAAGGUGCUACGGCACUGGCCUUAGGUGAGCUCGCGUCCCAUUAGCUAGUUGGUGAGGUAAGGCCCACCAAGGCGAUGAUGGGUAGCCGGCCUGAGAGGGUGUACGGCCACACUGGGACUGAGAUACGGCUCAGACUCCUACGGGAGGCAGCAGCUAAGAAUAUUCCGCAAUGGACGGAAGUCUGACGGAGCGACGCCGCGUGGAUGAAGAAGGCCGAAAGGUUGUAAAGUUCUUUUGCUAGGGGAGAAUAAGUGUGGGAGGGAAUGCCUGCACGAUGACAAGGACUAGCGAAUAAGUCCCGGCCAACUACGUGCC